rnacentral:rRNA from 1 species
GACGAACGCUGGCGGCGUGCCUAACACAUGCAAGUCGAGCGAAUGAAGUUCCUUCGGGAAUGGAUUUAGCGGCGGACGGGUGAGUAACACGUGGGCAACCUGCCUCAUAGAGGGGAAUAGCCUUCCGAAAGGGAGAUUAAUACCGCAUAAGAUUGUAGUACCGCAUGAUACAGCAAUUAAAGGAGCAAUCCGCUAUGAGAUGGGCCCGCGGCGCAUUAGCUAGUUGGCGAGGUAACGGCUCACCAAGGCGACGAUGCGUAGCCGACCUGAGAGGGUGAUCGGCCACAUUGGGACUGAGACACGGCCCAGACUCCUACGGGAGGCAGCAGUGGGGAAUAUUGCACAAUGGGGGAAACCCUGAUGCAGCAACGCCGCGUGAGUGAUGACGGCCUUCGGGUUGUAAAGCUCUGUCUUCAGGGAUGAUAAUGACGGUACCUGAGGAGGAAGCCACGGCUAACUACGUGCCAGCCGCCGCAGUAAGAC